UAAUAAGUGUUUUAUGGCACUUUUUAAAUCCAUAUCCACCUUGUGUGCAAUGUCAGUCGAUCUUCUCUCAUGGAGAUCGACCAAACAUCAACCUUUAUCUUUUAACUCUUUGUCUGAAAAAUAUUAUGAAUAAACAAUUCAAAAUA
rnacentral:misc_RNA from 1 species